UUGAAUAUGGUUGUUAGAAUUAUAGAAAGCCUGUAUAUUUUUUCUUGUAGGAAUAUACUCUAAGAAGCUUUGAUGGUGAUCUUGCAAGAAGAAGAACCCCAUAUUCUCAGAUGCACCUGCUCAGAGUAGAGGUCCCAUGAUGUUUUGAAAUAAGAUAGUCUGAACUGUGUCACUUGAAUGCCACCAAAAUGCAUUAUGCUUUAAGAGACAUAGAUAAGAAGCAGAGGAUGUAUUUAACAGCGCCUUGCUCUCCCUGAACCAUAGAUUCGGACAACUGAAGAGUUCUCUCAUCUUUCUCAGUUCUGUACCGAGAAGAGAACACUAGUACAGCCAUGCAGUUGAGCACACGUGUAACUACAGUGUGGAUUCUCACACUGUAUGUCAGCUUUGUUCAAACAAGUGUGAAAAUGCAGUAGAGCAUUAUGGGCUGGAACUUGAGCUUCCGGUGAGAAGCAAGUUCGUGGGGAAGAUGCCAUAUUCCCGGGCUGAGAAGUAUAAUAAUAUAACAGAAAGACCUGGAGGCACAUCUUCACAAACUUUGUGUGUCAAAAGAAGAAAAAUAAAAUCCCUUCAUGUUGGCACCAAGGAAGACUUGAAGGGACUGGAGAAAUGGUUCACUGGCUAAGAGUUCUCAUGUCCCUCACAGGGCAUCUAAGUUCAGUUCACAGCAUCCAUGCUGGGAAGCUCAUAACAGCCUGUAACUCCAACUCCAGAAGAUUCGAUGCUAUCUUCUGCUGUAUACUCAGAGACAUGCACAA
rnacentral:sRNA from 1 species